AUGUCUGUCAGGAUGAGCCAGAAGUCCUGCAAAGUGUCCACCUCUGGCCCCUGGGCCUUCAGCAGCUGCUCCUACACAAGUGGGCCCAGUGCCUGCAUCAGCUCCUCGAGCUUCUCCUGAGUGGGCAGCAGCAGCUUCCAGGGCGGCCUGGGCGGAGGCUAUGGUGGGGCCAGUGGCAUGGGAAGCCUCACUGACUUCACAGUCAACCAGAGCCUGAGUCAACCAGAGCUGAGACCCCUUAACAUGAGGGUGGACCCCAACAUCCAGGCUGUGUGCAUCCAGGAGAAGGAGCAGAUCAAGAUGUUCAACAACAAGCUUGCCCCCUUCAUCGACAAGGUGCGGUUCCUGCAGCAGCAGAACAAGAUGCUGGAGAUCAGGUGGAGCCUCCUGCAGCCACAGAAGACGGCUCGGAGCGACAUGGACGACACGUUCGAGAGCUCCAUCGACAACAACCUUAGGUAGCAGCGGAGACUCUGGGCCAGGAGAAGCUGCAGCUGGAGGUGCAGCUUGGCAACAUGCAGGCGCUGGUGGAGCACUUCAAGAACAAGUAUGAAGAUGAGGUCAACAAGCUACAGAGAUGGAGAAUGAAUUUGUCCUCAUCGAGAAGGAUGUGGAUGAAGCUGACAUGAACAGGGUAGAGCUGGAGUCUCGCCUGGAAGGGCUGACUGACGAGAUCAGCUGUAUAAAGAGGCGACCGGGAGCUGCAGUCCAGAUCUCAGACACAUCUGUGGUGCUGUCCAUGGACAGCAGCCGCUCCCUGGACAUGGACAGCACCAUUGUUGGGGUCAAGGUGCAGUAGAGAUCGCCAGCUGCAGCCGGGCUGAGGCUGAAAGCACGUACCAGGUCAAGUAUGAGGAGCUGCAGACGCUGGGUGGGAAGCAGGGGCAUGACCUGCGGUGUUCAAAGACUGAGGUCUCGGAGAUGAACCGGAACAUCAGCUGGCUCCAGGCUGAGACUGAGGACCUCAAAGGCCAGAGGGCUUCCCCAGAGGCCGCCAUCACAGAUGCCGAGCAGCGUGGGGAGCUGGUAAUUAAGGAUGCCAACACCAAGCUGUCCGAGCUGGAGGCUGCCCUGCAGCAGGCCAGGCAGGACAGGGCGAGGCAGCUGUGUGAGUACCAGGAGCUGAUGAACGUCAAGCUGGCCCUGGACAUCGAGAUCGCCACCUACCACAAGCUGCUGGAGGGCGAGGAGAGCUGGCUGGAGUCUGGGAUGCAGAACAUGAGUAUCCACACAAAGACCACCAGUGGCUAUGCAGGUGGUCUGAGCUUGGCCUAUGGGGGCCUCACAAGCCCUGGCCACAGCUACGGCCUGGGUUCCAGUUUUGGCUCUGGCACAGGCUCCAGCUCCUUCAGCCACACCAGCUCCACCAGGGCCAUGGAUCUGAAGAAGAUCAAGACCUGUGAUAGGAAGCUGGCGUCCAAGUCCUCUGAGGUCCUGCCCAAGUGAACAGCUGCAG